rnacentral:rRNA from 1 species
AGCGAACGCUGGCGGCGUGCUUAACACAUGCAAGUCGAGUGCGCAGUUUCCUGUAGCAAUACAGGAAACCGGCGCACGGCGCACGGGUGAGUAACACGUGGGCAACCUGCCCUCCAAGUGGGGGAUACCCCCGCGAAAGCGGGACUAAUACCGCAUGACAUUCCGGUGGCUUCGGCCGCUGGAUUCAAAGGCCGCAAGGCCGGUUGGGGGAGGGGCCCGCGCCCGAUUAGCUUGUUGGCGAGGUAAUGGCUCACCAAGGCUUUGAUCGGUAGCCGGUCUGAGAGGAUGGCCGGCCACACUGGAACUGAGACACGGUCCAGACUCCUACGGGAGGCAGCAGUGGGGAAUCUUGCGCAAUGGGCGAAAGCCUGACGC